AUGUGAAGGGAUAUCGCGUGUGACUCAUCAUCUAGCCUCAGCAGCACAUGCUAGUCGUCCUGUCCAAACGGGACCUUUGCUGGCCUUGUAAUUCCCUUGAGAGGCUGUAGAGGUCAGGCUGACACUGCCAGAGUACAGAUGGUCAAGACAAUAGCCUCCAUGUACUGCAUCAGCUUAAAUGACCUUCAGUCUGAUUGACAAUCAGAGAUAGUGUUCCACUGUGACCGACCUUCACUUUAAUGACACCCUGUUGCUGGAUAAGAAGAGAGGUGGGUGAAGGGCUCAAGUAAACCAUGGCAGACAAAGAGAACCAGAUGGACUCCUCACUUUAGCUGUCAGCUGAUGUCAAUGCUGUGCUCCUGUCUGAAGAAUCCUCAUGAGGGACUGCAGCCAGACCUGUUCAACAUCUCCUCAGUCUUUGGGUGAUACCCUUAGCUUACAGCUUUCUUGUACGAUGGCAACCUUCAAAAGCACCAAAGGACUGGGGGGAAUGGGGUGAUCAAAAGAAAACUCUAAUUUUCUGUACUGCAUUUUCAUACAUUAAUUCUGUAUGCCACCUUAACAAUCUGCCCCUGAUAGCCUGUACCAACAAGAGGCAGCAAAAAUGUGUCUACAAAUACACAGAUGAAUAAAUUAAAUUAUUCCUUG